rnacentral:lncRNA from 1 species
AGAAUCAUCAUCAUUCCCAUUUUAUGGAGGAGAAAACUGAAUCACAGAGUCGCCCUUGGCCACACAACUAGCAAGCUGUCUCCAGUCUAUACUCCUAACUUCUAGGUUCCCUUACAGAGCUUGGAGUCCAUCAGAUUUUGGUGCAAAGACUCUCUCUGCUACUUAGUAGGCACUGAGCUGCCCCAUCCACGUGUGUCAGAGGUUCCCUGCCCAGAGUUCCCAGGAGCCUCGGAGUCCAAAGUCCCUCGUUGCUGGUGACGACGGUUCCCUGCCUGUGCUUCCAGCACGCGAUCCCGACACCAAACGGCGCAGGCCUUUCCCAUUUGUUAGCGGCUCAAGUCUCUGUCCAGAUGACCAGGAGCCGCUGACUCCAGACUGCCCACCAGGCUCUGGUUCUGCAUGUGCUUAACAGCCAACUGGGACGGACAGCUCCAGUCCCCAUGUCCCUCACCCGUGUGGCCUUUAUCAGACCUUCGCAGCCCUAGCACCAAGUCCUACCCCAAACCCUCAGCUGCCCACCCUGCAACACUGACCAAACCCUGAGUCCAGCCAUCUGGCCCUCAGAAACUGUCCCCGGCUCCAGGCCAAGCUGCCUUACAGAUGGGCCCUGGGUUCCCUAGGAAACUGCAGGCUGAACUGGCUGUCAGUGGAGGGUUUCGGCUGUGUGGUUGGCCACCUGGGCAGAAGCCUUGCAAACUGCCUUCUUACCUGGUACUUCCCCUUCCUGAGCUCCAAACUCAACCCUUUCUGAGUCACCUGGGCCUUGGACACCUGUCCCUUUGGAGUCAUUUACAUCUUAGAAACCCAGGCCUUCUAAAUCGCAGUCACCUUGGAUAUCAGAUGAGUGCCCUGCCUCAUUUCAGUCUUCUGGACUCUUAAAUAUUUCAGCUGGUUCUUGGUGUUCCUCCUGCAUAUCCUAGGCCCGUGAGGGCUGGACUCCAAGAACUGGCCACGCCAUUCCUAAAACCAAGUCUCUGAGUCGCCAGAGCCUUGGUUACUUGCCCAGAUUAACAAAACCCCGAAGCAGGGUCAGCGUCCGGCCUUCACUCACCCCUCCGCUCAUGCAUCCACUUCUCCCGUCAACGAGGGUUCACGGAGCAGGUGCUUUGGAGCCACAGCACGUGCCAGUCGCCCAGCAAGGAAUGGCAAAACAUGCUUCCCAGACUGCAGAUGCUCACAGCCCAGGGGAAGGUGUCCAAGGCGAUCUAACCCAUUUCAGCCCCAUUGAACCAUGUCACAGUGAGUUGGGCAAGUUUCACGUACCAGGUGAGCACUCGGGAAAGGCAUCUAACGCGUGCAGGGACUGUCUUCCUCAGACAGUGAGUGAUAUGGAGUCUAGGCUGAAUCCUGAAUGGCAGGGGUUCCAGUGGGGACGGCACUCUGGAUGUCCCGUGUAAAAACCCAAAGAGAGCACGACUCAGAAGGAGGAAUGGAAAACAUCGCAUGACGGGUGUCACGGGAGAGGGCUGCAGGGCCUGACCGUAUCGAAGUUGGUUGCUACCCUGAGGGCGAUGGGAAGCCACAGAGGGAGUCUGAGUGGCACCCACCCCACCUGCUCUGCUCUUCACGACCAAGAGCUUCACUUGGAGACUCUCACUUUGCCAUCUGAUGGAGGAUGAGUUAGAGGGAAGGCGAGGUCUCGGGCAGGAAGAGGCGACUGUGGCAGGAUUCCAAGAAUGUGGUAAGGGCCUGCACCAAGGGACUGGUAAAAAGCACUGGGGAUGUAACAGCAGUGGGACUUGGUGGUUGACUGGGCAUGAAGAGGGUGCAGCAGGGAGGGGUCUCGAGUGAUGCCCAGGUCACCAGGAUGAUGGAUGCUGGAUGGUGGGAACGUGGUGCUGUGAAGUGUCCUUAGAGGAUAAAGGAGGAACGGGAGACAAGGUCCUCAACAGCAAGAGCAGUGCUGACUCCAAGGCGACCUCGGAACUUCGUGUGCGGAGCUGCGUCGCCAGGAGCCGCCCUGGCCAAAGGCAGAGGUCUGAGAAUGAGCAGCACGCGGAGGAAGUGGAGCCACGCGCACUGUCGAGUGAGAAGAGCAGAGGGCCGACGAUGGAGCAUGAAGAGGUGGACGUGUACAUAGUCUCCAAGUGUCUUCCGUACCUGACACUUUUCCUACUUGUGACAAACAAGUAACUUUACAACGGAGAGACCUGCCAGAUACCAGCCUAACCCAAUGAUCAAAAUUAACAUCUCCAGGAAUGGGCCAAAGACCUCCUGAUAUGACGCCCUGCGAAGGACACCACCUCCCUUCUGUAAUAUUCCUCCCCCAAGUGCAUAAUCCGAGUCUAAUCAAGGGAACAGCAGACAAAUGUGUGCUGAAGAACAUUGUACAAAACAACAGGCCUGUGCUCUUCAAAACUGUCAAAGUUAAAAAAAACAACAAAAAACAACAAAAAAAACCGAAAGGCUAAGAAACCGUUCUGGAUUAAGGGAGACGAAAGAACAAACACAAUAACUAAAGAAUUCACUGCAUGAUCCUAGAUUAGAUCCUGUAGCAAGAUUUAUAAAGGGGGGGGGCUUGUUUUCUUUUGCUUCAGUUGCUUUGUGGCAAUUAGCGAAAUUUGAAAUAAAAUUUAUAGUCAUUAU